rnacentral:tRNA from 1 species
UGGGGUAUAGCCAAGCGGAAGGCAGCGGGUUUUGAUCCCGCCAUUCUCAGGUUCAAAUCCUGAUACCCCAGCCA